CCAGACUCCUACGGGAGGCAGCAGUGGGGGAUAUUGCACAAUGGGGGGAACCCUGAUGCAGCGACGCCGCGUGAGUGAAGACGGCCUUCGGGUUGUAAAGCUCUGUCAAUCGGGACGAAGAAGAUGACGGUACCGAUGAAGGAAGCUCCGGCUAACUACGUGCCAGCAGCCGCGGUAAUACGUAGGGAGCAAGCGUUGUCCGGAAUUACUGGGUGUAAAGGGAGCGUAGGCGGGAAUGCAAGUUGGAAGUGAAAGGUAUGGGCUCAACCCAUGAACUGCUUUCAAAACUGUAUUUCUUGAGUGAAGUAGAGGCAGGCGGAAUUCCUAGUGUAGCGGUGAAAUGCGUAGAUAUUAGGAAGAACACCAGUGGCGAAGGCGGAUGACUGGACGACAACUGACGGUGAGGCGCGAAAGCGUGGGGAGCAAACAGGAUUAGAUACCCUCGUAC
rnacentral:rRNA from 1 species